CGGGCGAGUAAUGUAUGGGGAUCUGCCUGAUGGCGGGGGAUAACUACUGGAAACGGUAGCUAAUACCGCAUAAUGUCUGCGGACCAAAGCGGGGGACCUCCGGGCCUCGCGCCAUCAGAUGAACCCAUAUGGGAUUAGCUAGUAGGUAAGGUAACGGCUUACCUAGGCGACGAUCCCUAGCUGGUCUGAGAGGAUGAUCAGCCACACUGGGACUGAGACACGGCCCAG
rnacentral:rRNA from 1 species